rnacentral:rRNA from 1 species
UACGAAGGGGGCUAGCGUUGUUCGGAAUUACUGGGCGUAAAGCGCACGUAGGCGGAUUUGUAAGUCAGGGGUGAAAGCCCGAGGCUCAACCUCGGAACUGCCUUCGAUACUGCGGGUCUCGAGUCCGGGAGAGGUGAGUGGAAUUCCUAGUGUAGAGGUGAAAUUCGUAGAUAUUAGGAAGAACACCAGUGGCGAAGGCGGCUCACUGGCCCGGUACUGACGCUGAGGCGCGAAAGCGUGGGGAGCAAACAGG